rnacentral:lncRNA from 1 species
CUGAUGUUAAUGGUGCUUUCUAUUACAACCACACCCCAAAGCCCAGCUCUACAAAGAUGGAGCAUGAAUGAAAGGAAUGAAGUCACAUGUGAACUGCAGGCAAGGAGUUUUCAGAUUGCUCAAGAAAUGUCAAGUAUCACUGUGUUUUCUAGCAGUAUUUCAAUAUCCUGCAGUGCCCGGGGCACCUUCCUGUACAGUUUGGGAGCCACAGCAUUAUUAGCUCAUUAAUUGGGAGGCCUGUUACUAGAAUGUUUAAGGGAAGAUUAGACUAAGUCACCUGCCUUUUUUUGCUCCUGGGUGCAGGUCCCUUACCACCUCCCCAUCCCACACCUCACCUACUGCCAUGGGGAGUGUUAACCAUCUUAUUUCCUUUUCUGUAAAAUGUGGGAACAUUUUCAACUAUUUAAUCAAAUCUUUAAGAAUUUUAGUGAUUAUAGGAUUGUUUAGGUUUUCUGUUGCUUUUUAAGUUUGCUUAGUUUAUUUUUAUGUAGUACUUUAUUUUACAAAAACUUUCAAAGUUACUGGCAAAAGUUGUUCACAAUAUUGUUUUCUUAAAAACAUAUGAUGCAUUUAAUUUCUAAUAACAUUUGUGUCUUUGCCUUAUUUUUAAAUCAAUUUUACCCUAAUUUCAUUUUCUUCAAAUGUAGGCCUCGUUGAUUCUUUUUACUUUUGUCUCUUUAUGACUGCCUGCCUUUUAUUUAUUUAUUUACUUAUUUAUUUAUUUAGAGACAGAGUCUCACACUGUCACCCGGGCUGGAGAGCAGUGGCACCAGCUUGGCUCACUGCAACCUCCGCCUCCCAGGUUCAAGUGAUUCUCCUGCCUCAGCCUCCCAAGUAGCUGGGAUUACAGGUGCCCCCCACCACGCCCAGCUAAUUUUUGUAUUUUCAGUAUAGACGGGGUUUCACUAUGUUGGCCAGGCUGGUCUCUUUAUUCAGUUCGUUGUUUUCCACGUUAGUCACUUAAUCCAUGUAUCUUUAGCUAUUCUUCUUUCAUAACACAAGAUUUUAAGACUAUAAAUUACCCUCUAAAGGUGACUUUAGCUGCAUUUCACAUAUUUUAAUAUGUACACUUCCAGUCCACUCAGGUCUAAGCGUUUUCUAAUUUCCACUAUUUUUCCUUGAACCAUUGGUUGUUUCAAGUUGUUCUUAAUUUCCAAAUUAUGGAUUUCUAUUAGUUUUAUUUCUAAAAUUUGCUUUAUGCUCAGAUGUGUUCUGUAUGAAGUGAUGAUUUUAAAUUUGAUAAAAUUCACUUUAUAGCUAGCAUGGAAUUGGUUUUAUAAAGAACUGCUUCAUAUUUACCUAUUAGAUCAAACUUCUUAAUUGCUUUUUGUCAUUCAUUUUUUCUGUAUCCUUAUUGGACCUUUUUUGUGGUUAUCCUUUGAUCUAUAAAUUACUGAGAGUAUGUUUUUUAAAAACCUUGAUUUAUGGUAGAUUUGUUUAUCAUUGUGGUCCUGUCCAUUUUUGCUCACAUAUUUUGCAGCUGUAUUAUUUGGUGAGUACAGGUUGAGAAUUGUUACAUCUUCCUGGGGGAACUUUCAUCAGUAUCUACUUUUUGCCCUGCAGUUCAUUUUGUGUGAUUUUUGGCAACCACCGUUUUGAUUGGU